rnacentral:rRNA from 1 species
UACGGAGGGGGCUAGCGUUGUUCGGAAUUACUGGGCGUAAAGCGCGCGUAGGCGGACCUGCAAGUCGGGGGUGAAAGCCCGAGGCUCAACCUCGGAACUGCCUUCGAUACUGCGGGUCUCGAGUCCGGGAGAGGUGAGUGGAAUUCCUAGUGUAGAGGUGAAAUUCGUAGAUAUUAGGAAGAACACCCGUGGCGAAAGCGGCUCUCUGGAACGGUACUGACGCUGAGACGCGAAAGCGUGGGGAGCGAACAGG